rnacentral:tRNA from 1 species
GAAGCCGUGCCCGAAGCCAGGGGCCACCUUGAUGGGGUGAAACAUGGGGGUUAAAUUCCCCCCGCCUUCU